UACGUAGGGCAAGCGUUGUCCGGAAUCAUUGGGCGUAAAGCGCGUGUAGGCGGCUCGGGUAAGUCUGCUGUGAAAGUCCAGGGCUCAACCCUGGGAUGCCGGUGGAUCUGUCGAGCUCGAGUCCGGAAGAGGCGAGUGGAAUUCCUGGUGUAGCGGUGAAAUGCGCAGAUAUCAGGAGGAACACCGAUGGCGAAAGGCAG
rnacentral:rRNA from 1 species